rnacentral:rRNA from 1 species
CCUACGGGUGGUAGCAGUGAGGAAUAUUGGUCAAUGGCCGGAAGGCUGAACCAGCCAUGCCGCGUGAAGGUCAGUGCCCUAUGGGCGUUAAACUUCUUUUGUGCGGGAGCAAUAAUGGUCACGUGUGGCCAGACGAGAGUACCGUACGAAUAAGCAUCGGCUAACUCCGUGCCAGCAGCCGCGGUAAUACGGGGGAUGCAAGCGUUAUCCGGAUUUAUGGGGUUUCAAGGGUGCGUAGGCGGGGAGGUAAGUCAGCGGGGAAAUGCCCCCGCUCAACGGGGUGAAGGGCCAUUGAUACUGCCUUGCUGGACUGCGGCUGCCGUGGGCGGUAUGUGUGGUGUAGCGG